GCACUGGAUUUAUCCGUCUCGCGCAUGCGCAGUUCGAGUACCUAUACCAACAAGGUCACAUGUGACCCUCGUGACACCGGAUUGGCUAUAUAGCCCGGUGUCGACAGAGGAUCUGUUCCUUUCAUCUUCUCGCAAAGACGCAUGUUGUAGUACCGCUUGCGGAUAGCGUAUUCGCUUUUUGAAAAGGAUCGCGCUCCAGACUGUGUGCAGCCUCGCGACCAAGGGUCGGAGCAACGGGUGAACUCGUCCUCCAGGGGCUGUUGGUCUGUACAGCGCUGAAGUAGAAGCUUCCAAGGUUUUGUUUAGUUUCAGUCACUUACCGGUGAAGGCAGCGCUCUCGCGUCCUCUCCCGGCAACACUGCUGGGGUUAUUUUCACUACUGGGAUUAAUUUCGCUACUGAUAGCUCCCUUAUAGAAACAGCUCGGCUGUGUUCUGGGUUACCAAAUUUAUUUGGUAAAAGGUUUUUUCCAGUCAGUCACUUACCGGUGAAGGCAGCGUUCUCGCGUCCUCUCCCUGUAACACUGUUGUUUAUUUCUUUCGGUCACUUACCGGUGAAGGCAGCGCUCUCGCGCCCUCUCCCUGUAACACUGUUGGGGUUUAUUUUUUAGUCACUUACCGGUGAAGGCAGCGCUCUCGCGCCCUCUCCCUGUAACACUUGUUUGUUUCUUUUCAGUCACUUACCGGUGAAGACAGCGCUCUCGCGUCCUCUCCCGAGAACACUGCUGUAUAUUUGAGUGUGUAAUUAUUUUUCCAGUCACUUGCUGGUGAAGACUGCGCUCUCGCGUCCUCUCCCGGUAACACUUUCUUGGCUCUUCUUGAAUUAGUAGCUCUCUGGUGAAGGCAGUGCUCCCUCUCCCAGUGUUCUGCUGAUGGCUCAUGUGUGUGGCGCCUGUGUGGCCCUCCUUGAGCCUGACGAUGGCCAUGAUCGCUGCCCCUCUUGCCUCGGCUUCGAGCAUUUGAGGGAGGGCCUUACCGAGAGGGCCUGUAUGAACUGCGGCUCCAUGCCCUUGGCACUCAGGCUGGCUAGGCUCGCAGCGGUGGAACAUCCGGCAGCUGUCGACCUACCAUCAAUGGCGCCACUUCCUCCUGCUCAGCCCGGCCAUUCUUGGCGUCGGGGUAGAGCAGGCCCCCCCCCCAGGAAAAGGGCUAGGGACGAGCUAGCAUCCAAGGUGGAUCGCUUGUCGUCCGAUAUGGAGAGGAUACAGGAACUCCUCCUGACCCUGCAACCUGGGGCAGGUGGCGCGGUGGCUGACAUCCGGCCUGACCCUUCCUUGGGGGAUGUGCCGGGGACGGACGAUGUCCUGUCGCUGGCGGCAUCAGCCAACCUCUUCAGUGAGGGUGUCACGGGGGAGGAAUCCUCAAACGCUUUUGGGGAGGCCUCCCGCUCCUCUACUCAGAGCUCUGGGCACAGCACAGAGGGUAACCCCAUCGGGGCCGUCAUCCGUACGGCCCUGGCUCGCCUGGGGCUCGAUGCUCCUCAGGCAGACUUGGCCCAGCCUAGCGCCUUUUUCAGGCGCAGCCCUGCCACAGCCCCUUUCUCUGUCCCUCCUUCGGAGGAGUAUUUAAAGGAGCUACACCUCUGCUGGAAGGACGCCAAGGCUCUCCCCCGUCCUUCUUCCAGUGCUCGGGCCUUGGCUGCCAUGCGGGAUCCAGCGCAGUAUGGUUUGGGUUGCAUGCCACCCGUUGAGCCCGCCAUUGCCUCCCUCAUUCUAACCCCCGAUCAGGCCUUGCGGCCGGAUGCCAGGUGUCCUCGGCCCCAGUGCAGGGUCACAGACGACCUGCUUUCGAAGGCCUAUGACGCAGCAGCACGUAUGGGGCGGAUUGGCAACUCCCUCUCCCACCUAAUGCUGGCGCUCUCGACCUCGCUGCAACAAGCUGCAGUUGAGCCGUCUACACAGGACCUGAGCGACGCGUCCCUACAGGCCUUUGCCCUCAUGUCCAGGGAAUUGGGGCGUGUUAUGUCCACCCUGGUCCAGACUCGCCGCCAGGUUUGGUUGGCUCAGUCGCCCCUGACGGAGGCGUGCAGGAAGGCCCUUAGAGCCGUGCCAGUGGUACCGGGGGAGCUGUUUGGGUCAGCUGCCCUGGAGACGCUGGAGCGAGCUGCCCAAGCUAGGCAAACCAACCUGCAGCUGUCAGGUCUUCACAGGAGUGUCUCCGCUCCUGGCAGGCCUAGAGCCCCCCCGGCUGCCCCCCGGGGCCGCUACCAGCCACCACGCUCUUACCCAGCAAGAGAGGAGGGCCUACGCAGGUCUCGGCGGUCCGCCCAGCAGCCCGCUGAUAGCUUUCGCGCCCCCGCCCGCCCAUCGCCCGCCGGGGGAGCUGUUUGGGUCAGCUGCCCUGGAGACGCUGGAGCGAGCUGCCCAAGCUAGGCAAACCAACCUGCAGCUGUCAGGUCUUCACAGGAGUGUCUCCGCUCCUGGCAGGCCUAGAGCCCCCCCGGCUGCCCCCCGGGGCCGCUACCAGCCACCACGCUCUUACCCAGCAAGAGAGGAGGGCAUACGCAGGUCUCGGCGGUCCGCCCAGCAGCCCGCUGAUAGCUUUCGCGCCCCCGCCCGCCCAUCGCCCGGGCAGCCUCGGGCCGCGGAGCCUCACCGGUACCCCUCCAGAGCCGACAGAGGCCGGGGGGCCAGGCGCUAGGACCACGGGGCCGGUCGUCGGCUGUUUUUCCCAGCAGCAGAUCAGCUAUUGGGCUGCCUGUACUAUAGACCCCUGGGUGGUUUCCACCUUAACCCGGGGGUACGAAUUACAGUUCCGACGCCGGCCCCAGGCCUUUGGCCGGGUCAGGAUGACAGUCGUCCGCGCCCCGACGAAGGCCGCAGCUCUGGCCCAGGAGCUAUCCGCCCUCCUGGCCAAGGGUGCGAUCGAGCCAGUGGACCCUCAGUUACAACCCGGGGGGUUCUACUCGGCGUACUUUCUGGUCACCAAGAAAGACGGCGGAUUCAGGCCCAUUCUAGACCUAAGGGGCCUGAACACGUUUUUAAAAAUUUUACCAUUUCACAUGCUCACCUCGGCGGACACCCUGAGGGUAGUUGCCAGGGGGGAGUGGUUCACGACUAUAGACCUAAAGGACGCCUAUUUUCAUGUGCCGGUUGCGGCACACCACAGGCGGUUCCUGAGGUUUGCCUAUCGGGGCAGGCAUUACCAAUUCAGGGUACUUCCCUUCGGGCUUUCCCUCUCCCCGAGGGUUUUCACCAGGGUUGUGGCGGCAGCCCUCGCACCCCUGCAGACGCAGGGCAUGAAGAUCCUGCCGUAUCUGGACGACUGGCUGGUCUGUGCGCCCUCCAGGUCCCAGGUGGCCCAGGACACGGCCCGCCUGCUGUCGCACGUCGCCCGGCUGGGCUUGACGGUGAAUCAAACAAAGAGUUGCCUGGACCCUUCCCAACGGGUUACCUAUCUGGGGUUGGUCCUGGACUCGGUCGCCAUGAAGGCCUACCUUUCACCUCGACGGGUGAACGACAUCCUCCGCCUCCUUCCUCUCUUCAGAGCCGGCAGGAGGCUGCUUUUUAUUCUUUUUCUUCAGCUUCUGGGCAAGCUGGCAGCUGCUUCAGCUGUGGUGCCUCUGGGUUUACUGUCCCUGCGCCCACUCCAAAUGUGGCUGAACAGCCUGCACCUAGAUGCCAAGUGGCACAGGCAGAGGAGGGUCAAGGUGACCCUGCAG
rnacentral:lncRNA from 1 species